rnacentral:rRNA from 1 species
AACCUCCGCAAUGUACGAAAGUGCGACGGGGGGAUCCCAAGUGUUAUGCUUUUUUGUAUAACUUUUCAUUAGUGUAAAAAGCUUUUAGAAUAAGAGCUGGGCAAGACCGGUGCCAGCCGCCGCGGUAACACCGGCAGCUCGAGUGGUAGCUGUUUUUAUUGGGCCUAAAGCGUUCGUAGCCGGUUUGAUAAGUCUUUGGUGAAAGCUUGUAGCUUAACUAUAAGAAUUGCUGGAGAUACUAUCAGACUUGAAGUCGGGAGAGGUUAGAGGUACUACCGGGGUAGGGGUGAAAUCCUAUAAUCCUGGGAGGACCACCUGUGGCGAAGGCGUCUAACUGGAACGAUCUUGACGGUGAGUAACGAAAGCCAGGGGCGCGAACCGGAUUAGAUACCCGGGUAGUCCUGGCCGUAAACGAUGUGGACUUGGUGUUGGAAUGGCUUUGAGUUGUUCCGGUGCCGAAGGGAAGCUGUUAAGUCCACCGCCUGGGAAGUACGGUCGCAAGAUAGAAACUUAAAGGGAAU